GCCGGAGUGGUGGAAUUGGUAGACACCGGGGACUUAAAAUCCCCUGGUCAUUGCGACCGUGCCGGUUCGAGUCCGGUCUCCGGCA
rnacentral:tRNA from 1 species